rnacentral:lncRNA from 1 species
GUUUUCUGUUUCUGGGGAAAGCGCCCCACCUAGUGUUGGUGUUCAGGAUGGCUCUGAGGUGCGCUGACGGGCUUUCCCUUUUCACCAAGGCUUUCUUUCCUUGGGCAGUGGACUCCUUCCAAGCCUCCUCUCCUCUGCUGCCAGCCUGCAGUGAGGCUGCCCAGCAACACUCCAUUUUGCCAGAGGAAGGAAGGGAGAAGUCUGCUGCUGGCCGGGGGCCGAGGCCCCUCAAAGAAGUGGACCAGCCCAGGGAGAGGCUUCUGGGUACACAGGUUGACAGGCCUCCCUGGCCUCACCUGAGGCACAGGUUGAAGGGCCUCACCUGCAUGCCCAGCCCCAUGUUGCAGAAAACCUGAGCUCUAGGGCCUGGGUCAUCCUUCAACUUGUCCUGUGCUCUGGCGGCCCUCCAGGUGCCUCCUUCUGCACAUACUAGGGAGUGCCACCCUGCCUGCCCCGAAGUCACUGCUGGGUUCUGUGAGUCCUUUUGCCAAAGUUGAAAUUAUAGCUGACUUUCCAUAGUAGAUCUCAAAGACAGACACUUGGAGCUUCGUGUGGCCUUGCCUCCACUAGGUGGAAUCCUGACCAUGGGGUGGGUCUCUCAGGGAUCACUACCUGACAGCUUUCUGCCCCCUCUGGGACCAGACCUACCUCUUAUGUCUUGAGUGGGGGAACUACAGAUACCUCCUCCUCGUUCUAGUUUUUCCAAAAUAGACAAUAACCUUGAAGAACUGUUAUGACAGUGAAAAACAAGCUUAUGCUGGGUUUCAAAACAAUAAUUUUAUCCUGAAAACCUUGAAAUUAUCAGUAAUUCUUUAGAGUCCCAGGGCACCCAGUGACUGACAGUGCAUCACAAUGAAAAUAUAUGUGUGGCCUAUGAGCAUCUGAACAAUUCCAGUAGGACCCCCUCCCCUUUUUUAAAUCAAGGUGAGAUUCUCAACACAAACUUUAACAUUUUAAAAGGACCAAUUCAAUGACAUGUAGUAUAUUCAGUGUGGUGUGACCCCGCCUGUAUGUAGUUUUCAUCACCCCAUAAGGAAACCACUGACCCAUUAGCAGUCUUUCCUCACCUCCAGCCCCCAGCCCCUAGCCCCUGGUUGCUUUCUGGGGCUACAGAUUUGCCUAUUCUGGGCAUGUCAUAUGUUACAUCAGAUUUUUUGGAUGUGGCUCACUG